rnacentral:misc_RNA from 1 species
UCUCCGUUGGUGAACCAGCGGAGGGAUCAUUACCGAGUUUACAACUCACAAACCCCUAUGUGUACGUUACCAAACUGUUGCCUCGGCUGGAAAUUCAUGCCCCGGGAGCGUCGCAGCCCCGUACCAAGGCGCCCGCCGCAGGACCAACCAAAACUCUCUUGUAUGUCCCUCGCGGACUUUUAUAAUUCUGGACCAUCUCGGCGCCCCUAGCGGGCGUUUCGAAAAUGUAGCAAAACUUUCAACAACGGAUCUCUUGGUUCUG